rnacentral:rRNA from 1 species
CCUACGGGAGGCAGCAGUGGGGGAUAUUGGACAAUGGGGGGAACCCUGAUCCAGCGACGCCGCGUGAGUGAAGAAGUAUUUCGGUAUGUAAAGCUCUGUCAGCAGGGAAGAAAGAAAUGACGGUACCUGACCAAGAAGCCCCGGCUAACUACGUGCCAGCAGCCGCGGAAAUACGUAGGGGGCAAGCGUUAUCCGGAAUUACUGGGUGUAAAGGGAGCGUAGACGGUUAAGUAAGUCUGGAGUGAAAGGCCGGGGCCCAACCCCGGGACUGCUCUGGAAAAGAUUGAACUUGAGUGCAGGAGAGGUAAGCGGAAUUCCUAGUGUAGCGGUGAAAUGCGUAGAUAUUAGGUGGAACACCAGUGGCGAAGGCGGCUUACUGGACUGUAACUGACGUUGAGGCUCGAAAGCGUGGGGAGCAAACAGGAUUAGAUACCCCUGUAGUC